UAACUUGUGCUUUUAUGUUUUGUAGUGACGAUGCCGGUUACACGCUCCCAAUCUGCCGUAGCGGAUGAUGCGGCACACCUCGAGGAGGUCGAAACCUCCGCGACUUCCGGAUCUAGCGAGGUCCGCGACUUGAGGUCCCAGCUUGCGGUCCUCACUAAUCUUGUAGCGCAGCAGGCGGCGGCUGCUCAGCGACAGGCCGAGGUGGCACAGCGGCAGGAGGCGCGGAUGAAGCACCUGGAGGAUCUCUUGCUACAGCAGGCAGCAGCUUCUAGGGAGACUCAGGUUCCCACACCGCAAGCACCCGUAGUGGACGUCGGGCCG
rnacentral:lncRNA from 1 species